CACCCGGUGGCGAAAGGGCGGGUUUUCUGGCCCGAUAAUUGACGCUGAGAUGCGAAAGUGUGGGGAUCGAACAGGAUUAGAUACCCUGGUAGUCCACACUGUAAACGAUGUACACUAGGUGUUGGGGUACGAACCUCAGUGCCGAAGCAAACGUGAUAAGUGUACCGCCUGGGGAGUAUGCCCGCAAGGGU
rnacentral:rRNA from 1 species